AGCGAACGCCGGCGGCAGGCCUAACACAUGCAAGUCGAACGAAGUCUUCGGACUUAGUGGCGGACGGGUGAGUAACACGUGGGAACGUGCCUUUAGGUUCGGAAUAACUCAGGGAAACUUGUGCUAAUACCGAAUGUGCCCUUCGGGGGAAAGAUUUAUCGCCUUUAGAGCGGCCCGCGUCUGAUUAGCUAGUUGGUGAGGUAAAGGCUCACCAAGGCUACGAUCAGUAGCUGGUCUGAGAGGAUGACCAGCCACAUUGGGACUGAGACAUGGCCCAAACUCCUACGGGAGGCAGCAGUGGGGAAUCUUGCGCAAUGGGCGAAAGCCUGACGCAGCCAUGCCGCGUGGAUGAUGAAGGUCUUAGGAUUGUAAAAUCCUUUCACCGGUGAAGAUAAUGACUGUAGCCGGAGAAGAAGCCCCGGCUAACUUCGUGCCAGCCGCCGCAGUAAAAC
rnacentral:rRNA from 1 species